ncrna:unclassified sequences DTF805b RNA
AUGGAGAAUGCCGAAAAGCCAUAAAUGAGUAGGCA